rnacentral:rRNA from 1 species
UGGGCGACCUACCUAAUUGUGGGGGAUAGCCGGCCCAACGGCCGGGUAAUACCGCAUACGAUCGGAGAGGGGCAUCCCUUUCUGAGGAAAGCCUUCGGGCGCAAUUUGAGGGGCUCGCGGCCUAUCAGCUAGUUGGCGGGGUAACGGCCCACCAAGGCGACGACGGGUAGCCGGCCUGAGAGGGUGACCGGCCACACUGGGACUGAGACACGGCCCAGACUCCUACGGGAGGCAG